GGAACAGUACCCAAGUGGUUAUAAGGGGGCUGCCUUGAAAGCAGCUAGGCGUGUAAAAGCGUGCGUGGGUUCGAAUCCCACCUGUUCCUCCA
rnacentral:tRNA from 1 species